UACGAAGGGGGCUAGCGUUGCUCGGAAUCACUGGGCGUAAAGCGCACGUAGGCGGACUCUUAAGUCGGGGGUGAAAUCCUGGAGCUCAACUCCAGAACUGCCUUUGAUACUGAGGAUCUUGAGUACGGGAGAGGUGAGUGGAACUGCGAGUGUAGAGGUGAAAUUCGUAGAUAUUCGCAAGAACACCAGUGGCGAAGGCGGCUCACUGGCCCGUAACUGACGCUGAGGCACGAAAGCGUGGGGAGCAAACAGG
rnacentral:rRNA from 1 species